rnacentral:rRNA from 1 species
GGCGAACGCUGGCGGCGUGCUUAACACAUGCAAGUCGAACGGAAAGGCCCCUUUGGGGGUACUCGAGUGGCGAACGGGUGAGUAACACGUGAGUAACCUGCCCUUGACUUCGGGAUAACUUCAGGAAACUGGGGCUAAUACCGGAUAGGAAUCCUUGCUGCAUGGUGGGGGUUGGAAAGCUUCGGCGGUUUUGGAUGGACUCGCGGCUUAUCAGCUUGUUGGUGGGGUAGUGGCUUACCAAGGCUUUGACGGGUAGCCGGCCUGAGAGGGCGACCGGCCACAUUGGGACUGAGAUACGGCCCAGACUCCUACGGGAGGCAGCAGUGGGGAAUAUUGCACAAUGGGCGGAAGCCUGAUGCAGCAACGCCGCGGGCGGGAUGACGGCCUUCGGGUUGUAAACCGCUUUCAGCAGGGGCGAAGCUUGUGGUGACGGUACCUGCAGAAGAAGCACCGGCUAACUACGUG